rnacentral:rRNA from 1 species
CGAGAUCAAUAUGUCAAAAUGACUCUCGGCAACGGAUAUCUCGGCUCUCGCAUCGAUGAAGAACGUAGCAAAAUGCGAUACGUGGUGUGAAUUGCAGAAUUCCGUGAACCAUCGAGUUUUUGAACGCAAGUUGCGCCCAAUGUCAUUUGGCCGA